CACACCUUGGCUCAUCCAGAUCUGUGAGAUGACGGGCAAGAAGGCACAUCGAGGAGAUUUUAGCUCUUGAGGAACAGAGCACUCGCAACAACCUGAAGUUCAUGAAGGUACUGUUAGUCUUCUAACUUCACUGGAACGAUGCUUCAACUUUAUUCCCCCUUGCUCAUGUCAUGCCCGGUUCCCUCCCUUAUCAUCAUUCCACUCUGACAGUUUUAUGCUUGCUAGGUGCUUGAUGGAAUUCCUAGACGUGUGUUUCCGAGGGAGGUAAAGGCAAAUAAUUUAGAUGAAAUGAUUAACUGAUGAGAUUCUCCCAGUUUCUCUUAUCGGGGUUGAUAUAAUAAGUUCCUUGGCAUGAAUAAUGAAUUCCUGACUAUAGUUGUGUUUCCAUCAAAGAAAAUUCACUCCUUAGUAAUUGAAUAAUUUUUGCAGUUCAAAUUUUAAGGAGACUCUGGUUGAAAAGUAUCUGUUAUUAUUUUCUUUUCCCUUGAUUGUAAGCUUACUGCAUACUCUUUUGUUACCUACAGGUUUCAGGUAAUGGCAUGCGAUUCUGGGAGGUAGCAAAUGACAUUGCUGGAAUGAUUGACAUUGUUACUGUGCUGCUUACCUAUUGAAGUUAAAUAAGAUGUACUAUUACUUUCUUGCGAUAAAACUGAAUUAUAUUUUGCCUGAUUUGCAAAUAUGGGUAACACUGACCUAUUUCUAUAUGAUUACUGAACUUUUAUCCAUCAUUAAUUAGUUUACACUUUACAGGUAAAGCUUUACAACCAUAUCAAAGCCAAUGAUGCAGCUAUACUUUGAUGUACCAAGAUCUGACAAGGUUCUUUUCCAACAGCUUAGAUAGGGCUUCUGCAACUUAUUUUGAUCCAAACCACUGGUAGUAGUUUGGCCUCAGUCCUUUGCAGUUUUGUUGUUGUUAUUAUCUGAUGCAUGAUUAUUUUCUUGCGUUUACUGUCCACCUUUUUCUAAUCUUUAUUAGUUCGUUGAUAAAAUUUGCCCUCAAGGUGUGCCAUUUUGCCAACAG
rnacentral:lncRNA from 1 species